GCCAUAGCUCAAUGGUAAAGUGUGCAGAAGGUCCCUGGUUCAAUUCCUGGCAUCUCCA
rnacentral:tRNA from 1 species